rnacentral:lncRNA from 1 species
ACGCGCCCUGACGGAGUCCCAGCAAGCGCGGGCCCGUCUUCCUCGCGUCUCCUCGGGGAGCGUCGUCGCCGCCACCCUGGGCGCUGAGAGCUUGCGGAGCCGAGCCGCUGUCGAGUCCCAGCGGAAAGAAGCCCAAGGUGCCGGAGAAGCCCGGUCGUGGACGUUGUUGCUCCCUCAUCUUCGAGACCCGCACGCCCUGCGGAGAGGAAAUGACAGGCACGCCGCGACCGUGGGGCGGGGCUCGCACGAGCUCCGGGUUUCCAGAGGCAGGGGCCGGGGCCGUAGAAGGCAGAGUCGCGCGGGGAAGGCCCGGUACCCCGCCCCUUCCGCACCGACCCCUCCCCCGCGGAGCUGGCCCCGGCCCCGGGCCUGUGGAGUGGACGCCGAGGGCGGCGGGCGGCUUCCGAGUUGGACAGAACGGGAGCUGCCGGCGGGAGCAGAGCUGCGAGGAGGUGGCCUUUGAGGGCAGCGCGGGGUCGAAAUCCCAUCCCAGCGCUGUGACCUCUUGGAGCCCACAUUGCCUCUUUGGUGGAGGGGAGGGAGUGGUCCAGCUCCGAGCCGAGCCUGGGAGCUGAAUGACCCAGUGUGCAAGGCGCACCUCGGAGACCGAAAGCAACCGCUCCCCCGGCUUCAAUUUCACACCACCUGCAGAUACACGUCUCAGAAUCUGCGGCUAGGAAGACCUGGGCCGCCAGAAGCUAAACGUGUGCAUUUUGUCAUCAGCCCCGGUUUCUCGUUUUAGAGUGAGUUCCCACCUGCCCUACCUAAACUGACCUGAAACGGAAAGUUGUAUGCCCCCACGACCAUCCUCACUGCAGAACUGCAGAGGGUUUUAAGCUCCUUAUUACCUGUUUCUUAUAAUCCUGUCCCUUUCCAGGCGAGUAUUUAUCGGAUAGUUCUACUUGUUUUAUCAAACUUCCUUUUCUUUUGACUUUAUAAAAAGCAAUGCCGGGAGGCUGAGGCGGGAGAAUCGCUUGAACCCGGGAGGCGGAGGUUGCAGUGAGCUGAGAUCUCGCCAUUGCACUCCAUUCUGGGCAACAAGAGCGAAACUCCGUCUCAAAAAAAAAAAACAAUGUUCGUCCUUAAAAUUAUGUGCAGAAGUUUACUGAAAAGUACAAGUUACUAUUUUUCCUUCUGAAGCACUCCUCACAGGUAACCCCUGUUAGUUUCACAGGUAACCUUAAAAUGCUUAACACAUAUUUGUUGAAUGAAUAAGUGCCCCCCAGUGAAUUUCCUUUGCCUGUACAAACAUAUAUGUACAUACCUUGCUUUUUCUAUUUAACAGUACACUUUUAUCAUUUAACAUCUGCGUGGUAUGGUACUCCAUCCGAUAACCAUCGGAUGUACUAUUAUUUAACCACUCCGCUAUUAAUAGACAUUCAUGCUGUUUAUAUUUUUUGGUUAUAAUAAACAUUGUUGCAGGCGGGAUCAUUGAACAACACAUGGAGUGUCUGACUCAAGCCUUGAGUUGUUUUUCCGGGAGCUGAGAAUCAGUGUGGUGAUAUCGAAAUAACAUGAGCUUGGAAUCUGAAGGUACUGGCUAGGGAGAAGAGCUGCUCAUGUGCUCCCGAUAGAAAGUCCCCCUUGGUCGGGAAGGUUAGGGCCAUCCUCUGACUCAGCAGUUUUAGGAAAUAGAGGGGGAGAAGGAAGGUAUGUACCUUCCUUCCACCAGGGAGGCACGCCCAGCCCUAACCAGCCAGCGAGGCAGUAGGUCCUCCUAGCUCAUCUUCACAACCUGGGCUGGUGUCGGGAAGACUUUCGUUCCAAUGCUAGCUUUGGAAUCCUGGCCUCCAUCCCUUAAAAGCUUUGUGAUCUUAGGUAAGUCACAUCACACUAUCUCAAAGCCCCCGUUUCCUCACAGAAUGGUUGUUUUAGAGUUAUGUUUGUAAAUUACCUGGCACAUGUAGGCAUGUGACAGACUGUAACCAAUGUUACUCAAGGUCAUUUUGCACUGAUUCAUACUUUGAGCCAUUUCCUACUGUAGACUCUAGCACACAUUUUCAAGGCAGCUUCCUGAUAAUAAGGCUGUAGGAUAUUUUUGGGAAAUAAAUCCAAAUUGGCCAUUAAAACCAGAUUCCUGACUUUGCCUGCAUGUGUCAUCUGGAAAGCAAUCGGCAUAAAUUCCUUCAUUUCUUUGGUAACUAUUUAAUGAGUGUUUAUGUGCCACGGAUUGCAGAGGUUAUAAGAAGAGAGCCUUAGGCCGGGCGCUGUGGCUCACACCCAUAAUCCCAGCACUUUGGGAGGCUGAGGCGGGAGGAUCACGAGGUCAGGAGUUCAAGACCAGCCUGGCCAAGAUGGUGAAACCCCAUCUCUACUAAAAAUAAAAAAAAUUAGCCGGGCACGAUGGCAGGCGCCGGUAAUCCCAGCUACU